GCGCUUAUGGCUCAAUUGGUAGAGCAUCCGGCUCUUAACCGGAGGGUUCCAGAUUCGAUUUCUGGUGGGCGCACCA
rnacentral:tRNA from 1 species